rnacentral:rRNA from 1 species
GACGAACGCUGGCGGCGUGCCUAAUACAUGCAAGUCGAGCGCAGGAAACUGACGGAACUCUUCGGAGGGAAGGCAGUGGAAUGAGCGGCGGACGGGUGAGUAACACGUAAGGAACCUGCCUCAAGGAUUGGGAUAACUCCGAGAAAUCGGAGCUAAUACCGGAUAGUUCAUCGGACCGCAUGGUCCGUUGAUGAAAGGCGCUUCGGCGUCACCUUGAGAUGGCCUUGCGGUGCAUUAGCUAGUUGGUGGGGUAACGGCCCACCAAGGCGACGAUGCAUCGCCGACGUGAGAGGGUUAUCGGCCACACUGGGACUGAGACACGGCCCAGACUCCUACGGGAGGCAGCAGUAGGGAAUCUUCCACAAUGGACGAAAGUCUGAUGGAGCAACGCCGCGUGAGUGAUGAAGGUUUUCGGAUCGUAAAACUCUGUUGUAAGGGAAGAACACGUACGAGAGGAAAUGCUCGUACCUUGACGGUACCUUACGAGAAAGCCACGGCUAACUACGUGCCAGCCGCCGCUGUAACAC